rnacentral:rRNA from 1 species
GAUGAACGCUGGCGGCGUGCCUAAUACAUGCAAGUAGAACGCUGAAGGAGGAGCUUGCUCUUCUGGAUGAGUUGCGAACGGGUGAGUAACGCGUAGGUAACCUGCCUGGUAGCGGGGGAUAACUAUUGGAACCGAUAGCUAAUACCGCCUGACAACAGUUAUUGCAUGAUAACUGUUUAAAAGGGGCAGCUGCUCCACUACCAGCUGGACCUGCGUUGUAUUAGCUAGUUGGGGAGGUAACGGCUCACCAAGGCGACGAUACAUAGCCGACCUGAGAGGGUGAUCGGCAACACUGGGACUGAGACACGGCCCAGACUCCUACGGGAGGCAGCAGUAGGGAAUCUUCGGCAAUGGACGGAAGUCUGACCGAGCAACGCCGCGUGAGUGAAGAAGGUUUUCGGAUCGUAAAGCUCUGUUGUAAGAGAAGAACGAGUGUGAGAGUGGAAAGUUCACACUGUGACGGUAUCUUACCAGAAAGGGACGGCUAACUACGUG